rnacentral:rRNA from 1 species
GGUGGUAAUGCCGGAUGUUCCGAUUUUCCGCAUGGAUUUUCGGGAAAGUGUUAGCGGUAUGAGAUGGUGUCGCGUCCUAUCAGCUUGUUGGUGAGGUAAUGGCUCACCAAGGCUUUGACGGGUAGCCGGCCUGAGAGGGCGACCGGCCACAUUGGGACUGAGAUACGGCCCAGACUCCUACGGGAGGCAGCAGUGGGGAAUAUUGCACAAUGGGGGAAACCCUGAUGCAGCGACGCCGCGUGCGGGAUGACGGCCUUCGGGUUGUAAACCGCUUUUAAUUGGGAGCAAGCGAGAGUGAGUGUACCUUUUGAAUAAGCACCGGCUAACUACGUGCCAGCAGCCGCGGUAAUACGUAGGGUGCAAGCAUUAUCCGGAAUUAUUGGGCGUAAAGAGCUCGUAGGCGGUUUGUCACGCCUGGUGUGAAAGUCCAUCGCUUAACGGUGGAUCUGCGCCGGGUACGGGCAGGCUAGAGUGCAGUAGGGGAGACUGGAAUUCCCGGUGUAACG